AGGUAAACGGGUAGAGCUGAAUGCGGCGCUCGGGAUUCAGCUUGGUGUCGAAGGCAGUGUCGCGCGGUGUUGUUUCAACCUCGAAAGGGGGACCGCCGUGAUGCUUGUGUCUUUGGCGCCAAGUGCACUUUCUGGGCGUUAAAACUGCGACCGAUUACUAGGUUGGACUGUCAUUCGGAGAAGGUAGUGCCGGGUCCUCGGGCCUGGCAUGUUAUAGCUCCGGGUACGGUAGUCUCUGACUGAAUAUCGGGACCAGCGGUCCGGCGACAUGUGGGAGGGGGUUAUGUCGGCUCUGACUUUGUAUUUACUGUCCAAAGUGAAUCUUUGUCUGGAGUCGGUGUGCCUCUUCUUCUAGUCGGGCCAAUAGUCUGCAGUGUGCGAGUAGGCCAUCUACCUGACCCGUCUUGAAACACGGACCAAGGAGUUCAGUAUAUGCGCGAGUCAAUGGGCGUUACGAAACCCUACGGCGAAAUGAAAGUAAAGGUAGGCUUGACCUACUUUCAUGGGAUCCCGAGACCUCGGUCGAGGGCGCACCAUGGGCCUGUGCUCUAAUCCUUGUGAUGAGGACAGCGCUUGAGCGCAUAUACUGAGACCCGAAAGAUGGUGACCUAUACUUGUUCAGGUUGAAGCCAGAGGAAACUCUGGUGGAGGACCGUAGCAGUUCUGACGUGCAAAUCGAUUGUCAGAAAUGAGUAUAGGGGCGAAAGACUAAUCGAACCAUCUAGUAGCUGGUUCCCUCCGAAGUUUCCCUCAGGAUAGCUGGUGCUCAUUCAUAUUUAGUUUGAUCCGGUAAAGCGAAUGAUUAGAGGUACUGGGGACGAAAUGUCUUCAACCUAUUCUCAAACUUUAAAUGGGUCAGAUGGCUUUGUCGUUUAACUAGACACUGUCAUUGAAUAAGAGUACCUAGUGGGCCAUUUUUGGUAAGCAGAACUGGCGCUGUGGGAUGAACCAAACGUCCGGUUAAGGUGCCUAAUGCGGCCGCUCAUCAGAUACCAGAAAAGGUGUUGGUUGAUAUAGACAGCAGGACGGUGGCCCUGGAAGUCGGAAUCCGCUAAGGAGUGUGUAACAACUCACCUGCCGAAUCAACCAGCCCUGAAAAUGGAUGGCGCUUUAGCGGUGGACCUAUACCGGACCGACAUGGCAUGGUUUCGCCAUUGCAAUGGAGGUCAUGUCGAGUAGGAGGGUCGCCGUGGUAGCAUAGAAGCUCAUGCCGUGAGGCA
rnacentral:rRNA from 1 species